rnacentral:rRNA from 1 species
UACACACCGCCCGUCGCACCAUGGGAGUCGAUAACGCCCGAAGCCGGUGACUCAACCGAAAGGAGAGAGCCGUCGAAGGCGGGAUGGAUAACUGGGGUGAAGUCGUAACAAGGUAUC